GUAUGAAAAGCGAGAAAUUUGCGUACGACUUCGGAUCGUGUCUUAGAGGUGGAAGUCCUUUUUCAUAUU
rnacentral:tRNA from 1 species